GACGAACGCUGGCGGCGUGCUUAACACAUGCAAGUCGAACGGUGAAGCGCCUUCCUUUUUGGUGGGUGUGGAUGAGUGGCGAACGGGUGAGUAACACGUGAGUAACCUGCCCCCUUCUUCUGGAUAACCGCAUGAAAGUGUGGCUAAUACGGGAUAUUCUGGGUCUGUCGCAUGAUGGGUCUGGGAAAGAUAUUGUUUCGGUGGGGGAUGGGCUCGCGGCCUAUCAGCUUGUUGGUGGGGUGAUGGCCUACCAAGGCGGUGACGGGUAGCCGGCCUGAGAGGGUGGACGGCCACACUGGGACUGAGACACGGCCCAGACUCCUACGGGAGGCAGCAGUGGGGAAUAUUGCACAAUGGGCGCAAGCCUGAUGCAGCGCCGCCGCGUGAGGGAUGGAGGCCUUCGGGUUGUGAACCUCUUUCGCCAGUGAAGCAGGCCUGCCUCGUUUGUGGGUGGGUUGACGGUAGCUGGAUAAGAAGCGCCGGCUAACUACGUG
rnacentral:rRNA from 1 species